rnacentral:tRNA from 1 species
GCCUCGGUGGCUCAGCUGGCAGAGCGGCUGACUUGUAAUCAGCAGGNNCCAUAGCUUAGCCUGGCUUGCCAAGCCGAAUUCCUUCGGAACUCGGCGUUGCCUCGACGAACAAGUUCGUCUCGGGGCA